CCUACGGGAGGCAGCAGUGAGGAAUAUUGGUCAAUGGACGCAAGUCUGAACCAGCCAUGCCGCGUGCAGGAAGACGGCUCUAUGAGUUGUAAACUGCUUUUGUACGAGGGUAAACGCAGAUACGCGUAUCUGUCUGAAAGUAUCGUACGAAUAAGGAUCGGCUAACUCCGUGCCAGCAGCCGCGGUAAUACGGAGGAUUCAAGCGUUAUCCGGAUUUAUUGGGUUUAAGGGGUGCGUAGGCGGUCGGAUAAGUUAGAUGUGAAAUCCCGAGGCUCAACUUCGGAAUUGCCUCUGAUACUGGUCGGCGAGAGAGUAGUUGAGGUAGGCAGAAUGUAUGGUGUAGCGGUGAAAUGCUUAGAGAUCAUACAGAACACCGAUUGCGAAGGCAGCUUACCAAGCUAAUUCUGACGUUGAGGCACGAAAGCGUGGGGAGCAAACAGGAUUAGAUACCCCAGUAGUC
rnacentral:rRNA from 1 species